GGAUGUGAGGGCGUUCUGGCUGCGACAUCUGUCACCCAUCGAUCACCAGAGUUGAUUCGGCUGAUCUGGCUGGCUAGGCAGGUGUCCCCUUCCUCCCUCACCGCUCCAUGUGCGUCCCUCCCGAAGCUGCGCACUUGGUCAAAGAGGACGGCCUUCCCCGAAUAGAGACGGACCGGUCUUCAGUCAAGGGUAUACGAGUAGCUGCGCUCCCCUGCUAGAACCUCCAAACAAAAAAAUUUUAAAAAAUAAAAUAAAUUUUUUGUCACUGUCACUGUCAUCCCAUUGCUCAUCAAU
rnacentral:snRNA from 1 species